rnacentral:rRNA from 1 species
GGAUCGCAAGACCUUGCGCUCUUUGAGCGGCCGAUGUCUGAUUAGCUAGUUGGUGAGGUAAAGGCUUACCAAGGCGACGAUCGGUAGUUGGUCUGAGAGGACGACCAGCCACACUGGGACUGAGACACGGCCCAGACUCCUACGGGAGGCAGCAGUGGGGAAUUUUGGACAAUGGGCGCAAGCCUGAUCCAGCAAUGCCGCGUGAGUGAAGAAGGCCUUCGGGUUGUAAAGCUCUUUCAGUCGAGAAGAAAAGAUUGUGACUAAUAAUCAUAAUUUAUGACGGUAUCGACAGAAGAAGCACCGGCUAACUACGUGCCAGCAGCCGCGGUAAUACGUAGGGUGCGAGCGUUAAUCGGAAUUACUGGGCGUAAAGGGUGCGCAGGCGGUUCUGCAAGUCAGAUGUGAAAUCCCCGGGCUUAACCUGGGAACUGCGUUUGAA